AUUGAACGCUGGCGGCAUGCCUUACACAUGCAAGUCGAACGGUAACGGGCCUUCGGGUGCCGACGAGUGGCGAACGGGUGAGUAAUGUAUCGGAACGUACCUUUCAGUGGGGGAUAACGUAGCGAAAGUUACGCUAAUACCGCAUAUUCUGUGAGCAGGAAAGCAGGGGAUCGCAAGAACUUGCGCUGAUUGAGCGGCCGAUAUCAGAUUAGCUAGUUGGUGAGGUAAAGGCUCACCAAGGCGACGAUCUGUAGCGGGUCUGAGAGGAUGAUCCGCCACACUGGAACUGAGACACGGUCCAGACUCCUACGGGAGGCAGCAGUGGGGAAUUUUGGACAAUGGGGGCAACCCUGAUCCAGCCAUGCCGCGUGAGUGAAGAAGGCCUUCGGGUUGUAAAGCUCUUUCGGCCGGGAAGAAAUCGUAUGGGUUAAUACCCUGUGCGGAUGACGGUACCGGCAUAAGAAGCACCGGCUAACUACGUGCCAGCAGCCGCGGUAAUAC
rnacentral:rRNA from 1 species